rnacentral:rRNA from 1 species
CCCUUAGAUGUCCGGGGCCGCACGCGCGCUACACUGAAGGAAUCAGCGUGGCUCUGUCCCUGGUCCGAAAGGAUUGGGAAACCCGUUGAAUCUCCUUCGUGAUAGGGAUUGGGGCUUGGAACUGUUCCCCAUGAACGAGGAAUUCCCAGUAAGCGCGAGUCAUAAGCUCGCGUUGAUUACGUCCCUGCCCUUUGUACACACCGCCCGUCGCUCCUACCGAUUGAAUGGUCCGGUGAAGCCUCCGGAUUGGCGCGCACCUCGGUGCCGCCGAGAAGUUGGCUAAACCUUACCAUUUAGAGGAAGGUGAAGUCGUAACA